GGGGAUAUAGCUCAGUUGGCAGAGCGCUUGCCUAGUAUGCACGAGGCCCUGGGUUCAAUCCCUAGUACCACCA